CACUUCCCAUAACACCCGAUGUACUUGCUACAUCGUUAGAAGAAUGGCAUCUACGCUCAUAUUAGUCACCGUAGCCACCAGAUCCAGUCUGUAUCCAGAUCAGAGGGUCACUGCAGUCACCCGGAUCCAGUACGUAUCCAGCCCAGAUGGUGGAUCAGCACCUAGAAAGGACCUCUACAGCCCUGAAAGACAGCGGAGACCAGGACUAGAGCCCCAGAUACAGAUCCCCUGUAAAGACCUUGUCUCAGAGGACCACCGGGACAAGACCACAGGAAACAGAUGAUUCUUCUGCACAAUCUGACUUUGUUGCAGCCUGGAACUGAACUGCUGGUUUCGUCUGGCCAGAGGAGAACUGGCCCCCCGACUGAGCCUGGUUUCUCCCAAGGUUUUUUCUCCAUUCUGUCACUGAUGGAGUUUUGGUUCCUUGCCGCUGUCGCCUCUGGCUUGCUUAGUUGGGGACACUUCAUUUACAGCGAUAUCGUUGACUUGAUUGCAAAUGAUUGCACAGAUACUAUUUAAACUGAACUGAGCUGCAUGAUGACAUCACUGAAUUCAAUGAUGAACUGCUUUAACUGUCAUUUUGCAUUAUUGACACACUGUUUUCCUAAUUAAUGUUGUUCAGUUGCUUUUUUUGUU
ensembl:lncRNA